rnacentral:rRNA from 1 species
UACGUAGGUGGCAAGCGUUAUCCGGAAUUAUUGGGCGUAAAGAGCGCGCAGGUGGUUAAUUAAGUCUGAUGUGAAAGCCCACGGCUUAACCGUGGAGGGUCAUUGGAAACUGGUUGACUUGAGUGCAGAAGAGGGAAGUGGAAUUCCAUGUGUAGCGGUGAAAUGCGUAGAGAUAUGGAGGAACACCAGUGGCGAAGGCGGCUUCCUGGUCUGCAACUGACACUGAGGCGCGAAAGCGUGGGGAGCAGACAGG